AUGAAGGAAUUAAGGCUUAAGGAACUAGAGAGUCACCUGCAAUAAGUGGAUGGAUUCGAAAAGGCCAAGCUACUUCUAGAACAGUAUCCCACCAAGCUUCACAUUGCAGCAUGUAUGCUGUAUGCAAUCCAUAGCACUUAUGAUGACAUUGAAAGUGAAGUUUUUGCAGAUCUAGGCUGUAGUGGUGGAAUGCUUAGCAUGGGAACUGCAGUGUGAGGAGCAGGGUUCUGUGUUGGAUUUGACAGAGAUGAAGAUGUAUUGGAAAUAGUUAAUAGGAAUGUGGAAGAGUUUGAGUUAACAAAUAUUGACAUGGUUCAAUGUGAUGUGUGCCUGUUAUCUAACAGGAUGUCAAGUCAUUUGAUACAGUAAUUAUGAAUCCGCCUUUUGGGACCAAAAAUAAUAAAGGGAUAGAUAUGGCUUUUCUAAAGACCGCUUUGGAAAUGGCAAGAACAGCAGUAUAUUCUUUACACAAAUCCUCAGAGAACAUGUUGAAAAGAAAGCUGCAGAAUGGGAAAUCAAGAUAGAUAUGAUUUCAGAGCUUUGGGAUGACCUGCCAGCAUCAUACAAGUUU
rnacentral:lncRNA from 1 species